UCUUCAGCGCUUCUGCAUUGUUAAGACGAAACUCGCGGAACUGCUGCUAGAGUUACCGGGACCGUCUGUUAUACUAGGAUAAAACCAGAUCUAAGUAACUGAAAGCCAACUGCAUCAUAUAAAGAUUUAUUUCAAUACAGUGAAAGUCAAGAUGCCAUCAGUGACAACUGGCGACAAUGCUGUUCACUCCUCCAGUCCAGAUUUGGCCUGGGCACCAUCUGAAACCCUCAAGCAAGUUCUUGGUGUCAUUGACAAGAAGGUUCGCAAUAUGGAAAAGAGAAAGAGCAAGUUGAAUGAUUACCAGACCAGGAAGGACAAAGGAGAACACCUCAACCAGGAUCAGCUGGAAGCUUUGUCUAAAGCUCAGGAGGUGGCCCACAACUUGGAGUUUGCUCGUGAGCUCCAGAAGAGCUUUAUGGCUUUAAAUGUGGAGAACCAGAAAACUGUAAAAAAGACAUUGAGGCGCGAGCAGUUGAAGAGGGAGGAGGCGGAGCGUAGGCGAUUGAAGGCGGUGCUGGAGGUGCAGUAUUUGCUGGACCAGCUCGGAGAGGAAAGCGUGAGGCGGGACUUGACUCAGUCCGAGACCCCUCUACUUACAGAAUCGGAGAUCACCAGCCUGGACGAGUUCUACAAGCUGAUUGGACCGGAGCGGGACACUAAUGUGAGGUUGGCAGAGCAGUUUGAUGAAGCGUCCGUACAUUUGUGGGAACUUUUAGAAGGAAGGGAUAAAGCUGUGGCAGGAACCACAUACAAAGCCCUUAAGGAGACCCUGGACAAAAUGCUGCUAAGUGGGUACUUUGAUCGUGCUCAAACACAUCAGAAUGGAGUGUGUGAGGAGGAGACGCGGACCGCCGCGGUGGAAUCGCAAGAGACCGAGGAUCGCCCAGUUGAGCAAGAGGUGUCUGCUCAAGAAUACACAGAAACCAUUGAAGUUGAAGCAACAGAGUUUGUAAACAGACAGUUUAUUCCAGAAGCCGCUUACAGCAGCAGUGAGAAUGAACAAGGAGGAGAGUGGAAAACAAGCCCUCAGGUAAGCUCCCUCCAGCAACCACAGCAGCCACCUGCAGCGAUGAGCCCGGCUCUGGUCAGCUCAGAACCACACACACUGGAUGCUGUCCUGACUCCCCCCGCAGACCCUGUGGUCCGGAAACAGGUGGUCCAAGACCUAAUGGCUCAAAUGCAGGGUACAUUCAACUUCAUGCAGGACUCCAUGCUGGAGUUUGAAGGACCUCCUUUAGAUCCUGCCAUUGUGUCUGCACAGCCCAUGAAGCCUGCACAGAUGGUCUGUCCACCAGAAUCCAGACUCCCCCAACACAACACACUUCCUGUGCAGCCAGAACCCACACAAGUUCCGAUGGUCUCCCCUCCAAAAGAGGCCUUCUCCUCCACACCCCCCCACUAUCAGCCCCCUCACACCUCAGACCCUCGACCGCAGACAGACUCCAUCGACCCCAUCCAGGUCUCCAUGCCCCUGUCGUCUGAGCAGCCCCCCACCCCUUCCUCUCAGCCCCAGGUGUUUCAGCCUGUCGCCAAACCCCUUCACAGCGGCAUCAACGUUAACGCAGCUCCAUUCCAGUCCAUGCAAGCGGUGUUCAAUUUGAACGCCCCAGUUCCUCCAAACAAUGAGAUGGAUUCGCAGAUUAUUUCCAACCAAUACCAGACUAGCUACGGCCAGGGUUUCAGCACGCAGGCCGCACUUCCAGCUGAGCAACAGGAAUUGCAACAGGAACCCAUGCAGCCAGUGGUUGGCCCUUUCCAUUCCCAAGACCAAGGACACCAGUCUGCUCCCCAGGUGUCCCCUGGACAAGGCACAGGUUUUGGCCGGCCUGGUCAGUCCUUUUACAGCAACAGAGCAAUGACGCGCGGUGGACCCAGAAAUGCCAGAGGGGCUUUGAACGGCUACCGUGGACCAUCAAAUGGAUUUAGAGGUGGAUACGAUGGGUAUCGAGCACCAUUCCCCAACACCGGAUACGGGCAGACUCAAUUCAGCACUCCUCGAGAUUACUCCAACAGCACCUACCAACGGGAUGGAUAUCAGCAAAACUUCAAGCGAGGAGCUGCACAGGGACCUCGAGGUUGCUCUCGAGGUAAUGCUCAAGCCAUGCGAUCCUAAAACCUUUAAGAAGACACGUUUCUGUUUGGCCACUUUCAACAUUCAGUUAUCGAGAAUGUUUUCCCCAGCCCAUGUUUUUACAGUGGUUUUUGUUUUCGGCUUAUUGAUUCAAGUAAGCCCGCUUUGAUAGUUUUAAUACACUAAUGUGUUUUACAGAGACACACGCAGAGCUGAAACUGUCAGUAUUGUGAUUUUUCAGCCAGGUCUUGUUUAAAACAUAAGUAUUCCUGUAAACUUGAAAGAUUUUCAUUAAUUUAUUUUUUUUACAAAAUAAAAUGCAAAAAGAUAACUGCCACUGUCAGUGUAAUCCAAGAGAGUGUUUUGAUAUUGCGUUGGCCUGUCCCUCUUCCUUGCACUCGGUUCUUGCCUGUGUAUUUGGUACUGAAGGCAUUGUUUGUUCGUUUUUAUUUUUUGCCCCAUUUCGUUUUGAAGAGUUUUCUCCUGUCCUGCCCUGUGUAUGCUCAUGUCACUCUUUGAGAGAUUGUUUCAAUAAAGAUGUGUUGCAUUACUUGCUUGUCUGCCGCUGCUUCUUUUUGCUCUCUGUGCACGGAAAUCCUCUCACCUGUCCUGUGACCCUUUGCCUGCUAAAGAGUGUGGAUUGACUUCCUGUAAUCUGAGCGGAGGCAGGUGAUUGGGCCGCUUACUGGGCGAGGGGGAUCUUAUCGGGCGAGCAGAGGAAUGGGUCCCAUGGCUGCACAACAGACCAGCUAAACCCUGUGCUUUAGCCAGUAUCAGCCCUUUUCCACCCUCUUACCUCUUCCACCCAUCGGGACUCCCAAACACAAUCUGUGACACUCCAGACCUUGUAAGUUAGAUGACAACAUCGUAGCGAAUAAGGACAUAAUCAAUAGUUUUGGGAAAACCCUGCAUCAAUGAGACUAUAGCACUGCAGAAUUGUAAUUGCUCAGAACUCUCAAAGCUUUCACCAGAGCAUAUGCUAUUGACAGCCUGUAAACAUUUUGAGACAGAACAUGUGCCUUUGAUUAUGGGUGUCUGGGUUUUUUUUGUUGAACCUGGUGGGAAUGACUCGAAGUACAUGACAUAGCUGGGAACAGCUAUUCGAUUUUGAAUGUGAAACGCACCACUUACCAAAGGCACUUUCAUUUUGGCCAAAUGAACGGUUUAGUUAAUGUGAAGAACUAACUUAUAUGUACUGUUUUGUAACAUGAUUUUCUUUUUGGCUCCACCAAAUGGUUUACAAGAAAUGUAUUACUGUAUGUGGCUGAAUGACUGCUUCAUUGUAUUUCUCUCGAUUACUGUUAAUGCUAACAAAUAAAAAUGGUUUUUCGUGGAUAAGACGCAGUUUUUU